rnacentral:lncRNA from 11 species
GCAUGAUCCAGAUUGGAGGUCUGAGGAUGCUUUCUCUUCAGAAUGAAAGGAAAACAGUUUAAACCGGUUUUUAAAAAGCGUCGUUGUUGUAAGACCUCAGCUGGAGCACUGUGUCCAGUCAAGAAGGAUAUUGACAAGAUGGAAUGGAUCUGCAGGAGGGCCACUGAAAUGGCAAAUGAGAGCUGCAUAUGUUAAACCUGGAGAAGUGAGACUCUGCUGUAUUUAUGAGACAAAGAACCUUCUGGAUGUUGCUAGAGAAGCCAAGAGCAAAACUUCCAUGCGCUUUCUCUGGAGAGGCUGCAUAGGUCUGAGAUGCUGGGCUGUGACAAAACAACUUCUAUUGGGAUCUCUAGGUCCUCCAAUGCUAUUUUAUGACCAUCUUCUAGAGAAAGUUGACCAUAUUGUUCUGGAAACCUAG